GGCAUGUCUGAGCCAGAUGUCCACUUCUGGUCCAGGGUUAGAAUUAUGUAUCAAAUCAGCUGGAGCCAUCGCAUGAAUAUUUACACUUUAAAAUUCACAAAAGGACAUUCUCACAGGUUCGCUGGAGUUUAAUGAGUAGUUAAUAUAUCUGCACCAAAGUGACAGCAGCACCAUCUCACUUGCCACACAAGCUGGAGAGCAGUGGCAUGAUCAUAGAUUACUGCAAUCUAGACCUCCUGGCCUCAAGCUAUUCCUCCACUUCAGCCUCCCAAAGUGCUAGGAUUACAGGCAUGAGCCACCACACCUGGCCAAAUAUUUAGCUUUUUAAAAGAAAGGAGUUGGUCAUUAUUUGUAAAGAAAUCUGCCCAUUCCCUUAGUAAAAUCAGCCAGGUCAGUUACCGGUUCAGGGAUUAAAAUAAAUAAUUUGUAGUUGUGUUAUAAUAGACACUAUUUUCCAGGGUCGGCAAUGGUAAACAAUGCCCUUUAAGGGGAAAUGAUUAGAAAUAGAAACUUCGAGCACCCUGCCAUAGUGAAAUGUGGCCCUCUAUGGUAAAUUAAAGAUGGCCACAAAUAUUUUCCUAUGUUAUAUUGAGAGGUGAAGUCCAUUUCCCCUCUCCUUGAAUUUGUGCUGGCCUUAAUGAUUUGUCCAAUAGAAGGCACGAGGGAUAACAUUCUUAGACUUCUCAGGCUAGCUCAGAAGAAGUCUCAUAGCUUCCACUAGAUUUAUUAGAAUGUUGGUUCUCAGAUCAUUGAGAUGCCAUGUAAGAAGUUAGACUAUCCUAAGAAACUACAGGAAGACCCUGAGAUGACCUGAAGCAAGAGAGAGACAUAGCCAUCCAACAAGCCUCAGCUGUUUCAGGCCCUAAAGAUUUGAGUCAUCCUAGCUGAGGUUCCAAAUGUUGGGAUCAGUAGGAAUUUAUUUUGAAAAAGCUGUACACGACUUGCUUGUGUUAGAGAAUCAUUGUGGUCAAAGGUUAUAGGAGGCAAAGAAAUUCCCAUUCUAGAUGCAGAAGAGCCUGCAAGCUGAGCAAGAUAUAUGUAAAUGCAAGAUAUCAGAAACAGGUCUAGGAGUGGAUGGUGACCCCUUUCUACAUGUUAUUCAGCUACUGCAAUAUAUGUUAAUCAAGUUGAAUAAUAUAUGUCAUUCAAACCUACUAAACAUCAAGCUACAAUGAAUGACACUGUGAAUAUAUUUUCAUUGCUCCUCUAAUUAUGUCUUUGAUAUUGAUUUUGAUGAAUGGAACUAGAGAAGGCGUAAAAGUAUCUGUAUUGCUCUUGAGACAUACCCAGUGCCA
rnacentral:lncRNA from 1 species